rnacentral:rRNA from 1 species
AGCUCCAAUAGCGUAUAUUAAAGUUGUUGCAGUUAAAAAGCUCGUAGUUGGAUCUCAGGUCCCGGCUCGCGGUUCACUUCGCGGUGCUUACUGCCCGUCUGGGACCUACCUCCCGGUAUUCCCUUGGUGCUCUUCGUUGAGUGUCUCGGGUCGCCGGAACGUUUACUUUGAAAAAAUUAGAGUGUUCAAAGCAGGCGCUUCGCCUGAAUAAUGGUGCAUGGAAUAAUGGAAUAGGACCUCGGUUCUAUUUUGUUGGUUUUCGGAGCUCGAGGUAAUGAUUAAGAGGGACAGCCGGGGGCAUUCGUAUUACGGUGUUAGAGGUGAAAUUCUUGGAUCGCCGUAAGACGAACUACUGCGAAAGCAUUUGCCAAGAAUGUUUUCAUUAAUCAAGAACGAAAGU